GCUCGCUUCAGUAGAACAUAUGCUAAAAUUAGAAUGAUACAAAAAAGAUUAGCACAGCCCCUGCACAAGAAUGACACACAAAUUCAUGAAGAAGUCCACAUUUAA